CAGCUCCAACCUUUACUUACCUUCCUUCUGGUCUUUCCAUGGCUUUGUGCCAAGGAAGUAAAGUAUAUGCAAAUACAUUGUUUAACCUAUCCUUUGACAUCACAUGAUCAAAAAAUGAAUGGCAGCUCCUCUUUCCCUUUAGCUUUUGUCUUUUGUUUGUUUGUUUGGGGUAGCUUUUUCUUUUGACAUCUAGGGAAAGACCUCAUGCCAGAGAGAGAGAGAGAGAGAAAGAGAGAGAGAGAGAGAAUGCUUUUGCAGGCGCCACAUCUGUAAGUAGAAGACUCACACCCACCUGCGGGAAUGGACCAGCAUCCUAUGGAAUAAACAGUGGCAAAUAGUCUACCUGCUAAGAGGGCUGUCACUGUCACCGUGCUGGUGGGGAGAGGAGAUGUUCUCCAUACUCAUCCUUGAUGUAGAGCCAGCUGAAAAGUCAUGAUGGUGGAGGCCCCACCUGGAAAGGAAGGCCAGAAGCGCUCAAGUGCGUGGGCUGGCAUUUCAGGAGAAGAUGAGGGCUGAGCAGAGCCAGCCUGGGAUCACCGUGUUCUCUCUCCAGUCCCUUGAAGAAGCCGGCUCCGAGAGUAUCUCAGAAACAACACAAAGCACAGCUCUAUUUGCUGCCCUUACUGGGAAGACAGAAGAAAGGAGCAGGAGUUCGGGACUCACUCUGCAAUUUGAAUCUCAGGAAUGCGUAAGAAGUGGCACGCUGCUGCUUCGUGAGCAGAGAUGCUCUGUUGAAAUUUGACUCAUCCUUGCUGGUUUAUUGUGUUUUCCCCUCUCCUUCUGUGACACAGAGGGGUGAGCUGCCUUGUCUGUGACAAGUGGGACCACAGAGAUGACAGCCACACUGCUAGUUUCUGAAAGGAGGAACAGAAAAGAGGUUGGACUCUUGCAAAGUCCAGGAUGGUAUCCUCUUGCUGGAAUGGAAUCUCCCUGGUAUCUGGCAAUAGGAAGCACUAGAACAUUGCUGUGUACCCAGGCUGAUCUGAGACAUAUGGUCUUCCUGUGUCAGCUUCUUGAGGGCUAGGAUUACAGCCAUGCUUCACAAUGUCCAUACCUAUAAAAGUCUAAAUGCUCAAUCACAUAUUUACUAUGUGAAAAAAGGCUAUUUUUAG